GACGAACGCUGGCGGCGUGCUUAACACAUGCAAGUCGAACGGUGAUGCUCCAGCUUGCUGGAGUGGAUCAGUGGCGAACGUGUGAGUAACACGUGAGCAACCUGCCCCAGACUCUGGAAUAAGCGCUGGAAACGGCGUCUAAUACUGGAUACGAAACUGGCCCGCAUGGGCAUGGUUUGGAAAGUUUUUCGGUUUGGGAUGGGCUCGCGGCCUAUCAGCUUGUUGGUGAGGUAAUGGCUCACCAAGGCGACGACGGGUAGCCGGCCUGAGAGGGCGACCGGCCACACUGGGACUGAGACACGGCCCAGACUCCUACGGGAGGCAGCAGUGGGGAAUAUUGCACAAUGGGCGAAAGCCUGAUGCAGCGACGCCGCGUGAGGGAUGACGGCCUUCGGGUUGUAAACCUCUUUCAGCAGGGAAGAAGCGAAAGUGACGGUACCUGCAGAAGAAGCACCGGCUAACUACGUG
rnacentral:rRNA from 1 species